rnacentral:rRNA from 1 species
CGAGUUUGAUCCUGGCUCAGGAUGAACGCUGGCGGCGUGCUUAACACAUGCAAGUCGAACGGGCACUUCGGUGCUAGUGGCGGACGGGUGAGUAACGCGUGAGAAUCUGACCCUAGGUUGGGGACAACAGUUGGAAACGACUGCUAAUACCCAAUGUGCUGAGAAGUGAAAGGUUAACUGCCUGGGGAUGAGCUCGCGUCCGAUUAGCUAGUUGGUUAGGUAAGAGCUGACCAAGGCGACGAUCGGUAGCUGGUCUGAGAGGAUGAUCAGCCACACUGGGACUGAGACACGGCCCAGACUCCUACGGGAGGCAGCAGUGGGGAAUUUUCCGCAAUGGGCGAAAGCCUGACGGAGCAACGCCGCGUGCGGGAGGAAGGUUUUAGGACUGUAAACCGCUUUUCUCAGGGAAGAAGCUCUGACGGUACCUGAGGAAUAAGCAUCGGCUAAUUCCGUGCCAGCAGCCGCGGUAAUACGGGAGAUGCAAGCGUUAUCCGGAAUUAUUGGGCGUAAAGCGUUCGUAGGCGGCUCAUCAAGUCCGCUGUCAAAUCCCGCAGCUUAACUGCGGAGAGGCAGUAGAAACUGAAGAGCUAGAGUGUGGUAGGGGUAAGGGGAAUUCCCAGUGUAGCGGUGAAAUGCGUAGAUAUUGGGAAGAACACCAGCGGCGAAAGCGCCUUACUGGGCCACAACUGACGCUGAGGGACGAAAGCUAGGGGAGCGAAAGGGAUUAGAUACCCCUGUAGUCCUAGCCGUAAACGAUGGACACUAGGUGUUGUCUGUAUCGACCCGGACAGUGCCGUAGCCAACGCGUUAAGUGUCCCGCCUGGGGAGUACGCACGCAAGUGUGAAACUCAAAGGAAUUGACGGGGGCCCGCACAAGCGGUGGAUAUCGUGACUGGGAAAC